GUCCUCUAUGUCCCCCUGAGAUAUUCUGAUCAUCAGAUGAUUUUAUAAUUACAAUAACAACAAUAUUCACAAUGUCAUCAACUCCUCAGUUUAAACCGUUCAAUGUUAGUUGAUAUUAAAUCAUUAGCUGAAAAUAUCACAUUCUUAGAAGGCAACACAAGGCUUUAUAUGGCCGAGCAGAAAACAAGCAUUUAAAAUUCCCUCCCUAUAAAACAGUGUUUCCCACACGUAGACUAAUGUGUGGCGGUCCGCGUCACUAU